UGAGCAGUAGCUCAGUGGCAGAGUGCUUGCCUAGCAUGUGUGAGGCCCUGGGUUCAAUUCUCAGCACCACAU
rnacentral:tRNA from 1 species